CGCUUUGACAUGGCCUCGCGUCCGAUUAGCUAGUUGGUGAGGUAAUGGCCCACCAU
rnacentral:rRNA from 1 species